UACGAAGGGGGCUAGCGUUGUUCGGAAUCACUGGGCGUAAAGCGCACGUAGGCGGAUUGUUAAGUCGGGGGUGAAAUCCUGGAGCUCAACUCCAGAACUGCCUUUGAUACUGGCGAUCUUGAGUCCGGGAGAGGUGAGUGGAACUGCGAGUGUAGAGGUGAAAUUCGUAGAUAUUCGCAAGAACACCAGUGGCGAAGGCGGCUCACUGGCCCGGUACUGACGCUGAGGUGCGAAAGCGUGGGGAGCAAACAGG
rnacentral:rRNA from 1 species